rnacentral:sRNA from 1 species
AAAUUUUAAAAAAAAACUUAAAGUAAAUAUCUCUAUAAAUUAAUAUUUAUUAAUAUUUUGGUUCCGAGUCCCGACAUUAUUAAUUUAUAGAGGUUUUACUUAUAUUGAUCUUCUAAGAGAUGAACGUAAAUUUCUAAUAUGGACUUAAAUGGGUGAUUGGUUGGGCUGUAACUCUAGAAUUUUUGCUGUAGAGAUUUUGCUGUAGCUGUGUUGGUUGUAGCUGUAACUGUUAUUGCUGUAAAAUUAUUGCUGUAAGUUUUGAACUUUAAAUAUUUAUAAAAAAUGGAUUAAUAAAUAUAAUAAUUGUAAUAAGAGUUUAU